UACUACGGCUACUACAGCCAUUCAUUCAUUAAACGAGAAAGCGUUCUUGAGUUAAGGUCGCCGACGACGAGCCAAUAGAUAAGAAGUUCCCUCCGAAACAGUGAGACACGGUGAAGAAGUUCGUUCAGUUCAGUCGGAAAUCCAUCCAAGUCAGUGUGAAAUAGUAUUAGCGCUCAGCGGACGCAGUCCUGCAAGCAAAUCAGUACAAAUUUCGUUUUACGCGCCUCUUCCGCCCGACGGUUAACGCAUAGCAAGAUGGUGAAUGUAAAAGUGUUCCUAUUAGGACUUUUAAGUGUUCUCCUGAUAGUGCCAGCUUUCUUCGCGACAUCCACACAGGCCGCCUCAGUUUACAGAAAAAGAUCCACCAGCAACAUUUGCCAUCCUGGUGCACGAUGUGGAUGGUAUGUGUACAAUAAAACAACACGACAUCUAGAAGAUCCUCACAAAGCAUGUAACUGCCCAGAUAAUUACAAAUGUUAUUAUGUUAGAGAUGAUAUUAGCAUCGCCGCAUAUGAAUACCGAUGCCGAGAAAAGUCGGACAACAGCGUACAAUGGCCACAAUUCAGACGAGGCAAUAAAUAAAAGAAUUAUAACUGAAAACAUUUGAAAACGCCAGCUAUUAAGACAGUACAAACAUUCACUUUAAUUGGAUAUCUAAGGUCUUUGAAAAUUACCAAAGAAAGAAAUUUGAAUUCACUUAGUAUCAGCAGAGAUUGAUUUCAUUUUCAUAAAAAAAAAAAUUGGCAUUCAGUCAAUAGCUGCAUUUUUCAAUAUUUCACUACAUCCAAACGUUGAGACAUCUUAUCACUGGAAAAUAACUUUCUACAAUAUUGCAAAAAGUGCUAAAUAUUCUGAUUUCCAUUACUUCUGGGUAGAACAUAUCCUAUGUAAGCAACAGGUGUGAAUGCCCGAAAAAUGAACUGUGCACUCGAACGGAAGAUGAUAUUUCCAUUUCGGCGUACGUUUACCGGUGUAGGCCAGAAUCCCAAUCGGGCGACACAAAUUUAUCAUGAAAUUUCAACUAAGAUAGAUGGCUUUCGCCAACCGGAUGUACUUUAUUUCAAAGCAUACUAGACUUAAUUUCCAACGCUAUUGUGGAAGAAAUCAACACCCAAUUUACGGAUUUUCAUUCUUUGUUUUGAAACAGAAGUGUAGUGUCAUUGUAGCCUAGCAAAUAGAAUGUAUGAGAAUAAUAUAAAAUAUUACAAUCUUAAAUAUAAUUAAUUUAAUUGAAGGAAACUUAAUAGUAGUAAGAUAGUCUUUAGCAGCACAUCAGAAUCGAAUCAUACUUUAUCCUCGCUAACUUUACCUGAUUUUGUUAGCUAAUAUACAAACAGGCAGCUUUACUAUUCAAUAUGUUACAGACAAACAUUUAUCUAUAGCCUAAGAUAAAUUCGUCAAUUUUCCAUUUGGACACAACCGAAUACAGCAGAAAACAUAAGACUGGUUCCAAAUUUACUCAGUACUAUAACCAAUAAGUUGAUCACGACCGCAUACAAAUAUAUUUUAGAACUUUUUUUAUUGAAUACAUUUUAUGAAAGCCCUUUUGCACGUACACACAUUUACAAUAGUAUUUAUAAAGUCUUAUUUUCAUAGACCGAGAAUAAUAAUUAUUAAUUUUCUCCACCCACGAAGCCACUUCUCAUUGAAAAAUACUUUUCACUUGACUUCCAAUAUGCAAAAAUUUUAAACAAUGACAAACAUAAUGUCCAUGUUUUGAUUUAUUUAUUUAAUUAUAAGAUAAACCGUUUACCCAGUAUUGUAUAUUUGACAGCAGAAACUAAAAAUUAAUACAAAAUCAACUGUCUUGGAGAAAAAUUAACAAAUAUGUAAAACAUUUCAACUGUAAUGACUUGAAAUAUUCGAUUGCAUUCUGAAUGUGGAAAUUAUUUAUUCUGUUCAAUAUUAUUGAAGAUUAUUUUGAAACAAGUCAUAAAUUAUUAUACUUUUCUCAAAUAAAUUUGUAUCUCAGAAGGUUGA